UACGAAGGGUGCAAGCGUUACUCGGAAUUACUGGGCGUAAAGCGUGCGUAGGUGGUUUGUUAAGUCUGAUGUGAAAGCCCUGGGCUCAACCUGGGAAUUGCAUUGGAUACUGUCAAGCUCGAGUCCGGAAGAGGCGAGUGGAAUUCCUGGUGUAGCGGUGAAAUGCGCAGAUAUCAGGAGGAACACCGGUGGCGAAGGCGCCACUCUGGGCCGGAACUGACGCUGAGGAGCGAAAGCGUGGGUAGCAAACAGG
rnacentral:rRNA from 1 species